AUCUACAACAAUGUGUAUUUAAUGUAGUGGUGAUUGAAAAUAAGAACAAGCCUAUGACAUGGUACUUGUUAGCAUUAAGAGUCCUUUUGAUAGGGAAAGUUUCAUACUAAAUCCCCUUUGUUUCAUAUUAGGUAAUUUGGUGUAUGUGGGAUAUCUUUCUUGAGAUAAGGCACGUAAAAAAUUUGAGGUGGGUGAUAUUGUGAGCUUGUGACUAAUGAGGCAAAAGGAGUAUAGUGUAGUUGAAGCCAAUAGAAAGUCACUUUUAGAGUGUUAGUUAUUGGUUUUUUGUUUCUCUUUAAAGUCCUUUGCAUGGUUGAGUUUGUAUUUCAUGAUACGGGUGUCAUGAGAAUAACUUUUCUUGUGUUAUAAGAGCCACUUUUGGUAGCAACCAAGUUUGAGGUCAUUAUGAUUAUUGGGUCAAAUAAAUGGGCUUAAAAUUUUCAUUAUCUCAUUGAGUAAGAGGUAGUUUGGCUUGAGGACAAGCAAUGGUUUUAGUUGCGGGUGCUGAUGAGUGGUGAAUUUACCACUUAUUUGCAUCCUAAAUUCGUGCACACUACUACAAUUUAAAGGUAUAAAUGAGACAAGUUUGCUACUUAAAUACACCAAAUUCCACAGUUUGCAGGUACACAGAUGAUGAGAUAAAAAGAUAUGGAUUUAAGUUUAAAAGGAACCAAAAGGAGAAGAAAAGUGCACAACUGAUGGACCUUAUACAGAACAAGGCUUAGAUACCUUGAUUACGGCCAAUCUAGAUGGGUCAGCCACCUCUAUCACUUGGAUUUAACUACAGUCGUGGUAUUAGUUAUCGUGGCAAAGUUGAUACAAUCGUGGCAAUGUGGGAAUGGACCUAGAGUCAGUUUUGUAAUUUUUAAAAGAUGAACCCAAUUCUAUUAAAAGUCUCAAACCCUCACCCAUUUUUGCAUUAUAGACUCUUGGAGAUAAAUUUAAUUUAUGUUAAAAACACUAAUUUGGGCAAUAAUUGAAUUUGAAUGUCUUGACUUGAAUUUGGUGAAAUUGAUGUAUGGAUGCUUUGAAUGAACCUUAUGG
rnacentral:lncRNA from 1 species